UCUACCGCAAUUACAUAACUCGCAUGCGUACAUCCGCACGCAUGCUCAACAAGACACCAAAUAUACCAGUCGUGUAUCAUAACCUGUAAAUAGUACUACGCGUGAUAUCUCUAUAAUAGUAAACGACUAAGCUGCUGAAACGCAAGUAAAAAUACUAAUUCUAUACUAAUAACAGAGCCUAACCUACAGUAAUUACUCUCACAUAUUAGUUAACCAUAGCUAUAAUAAUUCUUGCAGUCUAAAUUACCAAUACGGCGCAUGAUGCAACCAAGUAAUUACGAAAUGUUCCAAUGGUAUAAAAUCAACUGGAUCCAUGGUAAUUACUUAAUUAUUCUAUUAUUCCCCUAAACACAACACAAAAUAGUCUAUACAAUGUCAAUUAAGUCCAACUUAUAGUUUAAAGUAACAGGUUAGCUGCACCAAAUCACCGAUCACAAUAUAAAAUAAUAGUCGAUUUAUAAAAUCUAUAACGACGCAUCGCUUCUCCUGUUAUUUACUCACGACAAGUGUUAAAUACUGGAAGAAGGCUACCAGUUCCCUAUUUUAACCUAUUUACAUGAUAUAUUCAGUGCUUUUUAUAAUAAUAAUAUACCCAAUCCUAUCAUGAAACUCCAAAACUCCUUUUGAAUUUUACGCCAUCAGCUAUAAAAAUGCGUCAUUAGCUACGAUAGCCAAUGGUGCUGAAAUUAGCACGGAAAAUUAACGGCGCAAGCGCGGUUGCUCUUAUUGGCUAAAAUCCUUUGACGUAACAUGAUUACACCCAAUGAGAUCUCUCAACACGAUGGCUGUCUAUACAGCGCCAUCAGCGUCUUCUCGCGCAGAGAAUAAACACUAAAAACCCUUAGUCCUCCCCUGCUAUUGAUGCAGAGUGCGUAGUACCGGCAACCCGUACGUUAACCUACAAACUUAACAUGUGACGCAAUUAAAAUUCGGACUCCUAAAACAGGUAACUAAUCAUGCAAGACAACAACGAUGGGUCUUAAAAUCUAGGCGAGAUGAAAAAAAAUUGCUCUAGUGAAAAGAUAGACAGUAUAUCACAUGGAUAUCAUCGCAAUUUAUAAAAACACGAGAUGCAACUAAUGCGCAUAACUAAACUGAACCCUAAAAGCAAGUACCAGGCAUAUCGUAAAAUUGGUGCACCUGAGAAAAAUCAAGUUGCUACAACAGUCACAACAAGAUAGAAGUCACCUUGUGCAAAUGCGCAUGCUCCAAUGUAUAAUGGCUACCUUACAACCAAUAAUCUAACUGGCUUCUACCUGUUUCAAGGUCUUAUAUUGCGCAUGGCAUAUUCUUAAAAGUAACAAAUUAGAUGCACCAAAUCAUUGAGUACGACAUAAAGCAAUAACCAAUCUAUAAAGCUAUAACGACGCGCCUUCUCCUACGAUGUCUACUUACAAUAAGAAUCAAACUCUGAAAGAAUGGAAUCACUUCCUCAUUUCAGUCUAUCUACACGACAUAUUCACUCCAAUAACCAAUGGUGCCGAAAUUAGCACGGAGAAUCAACGGCGCAAGCGCGGUAGCUCUUACUGGCUAGAAUUUUUGACGUAGCAUGAUUACACCCAAUGAGAUCUCUCAACACGAUGACUAGCUAUACAGCGCCAUCAGCGUCUUCUCACGCUGAGAAUAGACACUAAAAACCCUUAGUCCUCUCCUACUAUCGAUGCAAUGUGCGUAGUGCCGGCAACCCGCAUCUAACCAUACAAGACACCAACGAUGGGUCUCAAAAUCUUGUGAGAUAAACAAAUAUUACUCUAAUGAAAAGAUAGACAGUAUAUUACUUGGAUAUC